CUUGGCGGCCAUAGCGCGGUGGUCCCACCUGAUCCCAUGCCGAACUCAGAAGUGAAACG
rnacentral:rRNA from 1 species